UGUAAACUUGUACUCUAAUUGAUGUUGUCCUUAAAUGUCUGUUUACUAAUCUACUUUUAGUUUUUGGGUAAAAUUAGAGAUUUUGUUAAUUAUUGUUUGAGGACAAAAAAUUUAGUGAGCGAGCCAGAUUAGUACCUGGUUAGAUAAAAGUUAAAAGAGCAGGAGUAAGGUUGUAUUUAAACUGUAAGAAUAUUGGCAGGUUUUUAAAUUAUCUUUGGAGGUUGAAUAGUAAUUGAGAGCCCUCAUUAUCUACUUUUAUUUUAGGCGCAUGUAUGAUCGUUUAUUUUAUUCUUGAGGAUUGUAAUUUUAGUUUAUAGCUGUAAAAAUAGAUAUAUACUUGGUCUAUAUUAAAGUUUAUUUUGACCUACAAUAUUAUAUGUUGUGGAUAAUAUUUGUAGUAAAUAUUUGAAAUUGUAAAAGACAGUAAAAUCUUUUUAAUGUGGAUUUGAAGUUUAUUUAAAAACGGUACAAAUCAUCCAUCAAUUGCCCAUAGG
rnacentral:ncRNA from 1 species